rnacentral:pre_miRNA from 1 species
UUAAUACUCCCUCCGUUCGGAAUUACUUGUCACAAAAAUGGAUGUAUCUACAACUAAAAUACAUCUAGAUACAUUCAUUUCUUGAACGAGUAAUUCUGAAUGAAGGGAGUAUAUG